rnacentral:rRNA from 1 species
ACUAACAAGGAUUCCCCUAGUAACUGCGAGUGAAGCGGGAAAAGCUCAAAUUUAAAAUCUGGCGGUCUUCUGGCCGUCCGAGUUGUAGUCUGGAGAAGCGUUUUCCGCGUUGGACCGUGUACAAGUUUCCUGGAACGGAGCGUCAUAGAGGGUGAGAAUCCCGUCUUUGACACGGACCCCAAUGCUUUGUGAUGCGCUCUCAAAGAGUCGAGUUGUUUGGGAAUGCAGCUCAAAAUGGGUGGUGAAUUCCAUCUAAAGCUAAAUAUUGGCGAGAGACCGAUAGCGAACAAGUACCGUGAGGGAAAGAUGAAAAGCACUUUGGAAAGAGAGUUAAACAGUACGUGAAAUUGUUGAAAGGGAAACGCUUGAAGUCAGUCGCGUUGGCCGGGACUCAGCCUUGCAUCCGCUUGGUGUACUUUCCGGUUGACGGGCCAGCAUCAGUUUUGAUCGAGAGACAAAGGCGGGGGGAAUGUGGCUCUUUCGGGAGUGUUAUAGUCCUUCGUCAGAUGUCUCGGUUGGGACUGAGGUACUCAGCACGCCUUUAUGGCCGGGGUUCGCCCACGUACGUGCUUAGGAUGCUGGCGUAAUGGCUUUAAACGACCCGUCUUGAAACACGGACCAAGGAGUCUAACAUGCCUGCGAGUGUUCGGGUGGAAAACCCGUGCGCGUAAUGAAAGUGAAAGUUGGGAUCCCUGUCGUGGGGUGCACCGACGCCCGGCCCAGACCUUUUGUGACGGAGCUGCGGUAGAGCAUGUAUGUUGGGACCCGAAAGAUGGUGAACUAUGCCUGAAUAGGGUGAAGCCAGAGGAAACUCUGGUGGAGGCUCGUAGCGAUUCUGACGUGCAAAUCGAUCGUCAAAUUUGGGUAUAGGGGCGAAAGACUAAUCGAACCAUCUAGUAGCUGGUUCCUGCCGA